rnacentral:tRNA from 1 species
GGGCUGGGGCUCAGUGGUAGAGUGCUCGCCUAGCAUGUGUGAGGCACUGGGUUCAAUUCUCAGCACCCCA